rnacentral:rRNA from 1 species
UGAUUUAAUGUUUGAUCCUGGCUCAGACUGAAGCGCGUUGCGGCAGGCCUAACACAUGCAAGUCGAGCGGAUGACGGGAGCUUGCUCCUUGAUUCAGCGGCGGACGGGUGAGUAAUGCCUAGGAAUCUGCCUGGUAGUGGGGGGCAACGUUUCGAAAGGAACGCUAAUACCGCAUACGUCCUACGGGAGAAAGCAGGGGACCUUCGGGCCUUGCGCUAUCAGAUGAGCCUAGGUCGGAUUAGCUAGUUGGUGGGGUAAUGGCUCACCAAGGCGACGAUCCGUAACUGGUCUGAGAGGAUGAUCAGUCACACUGGAACUGAGACACGGUCCAGACUCCUACGGGAGGCAGCAGUGGGGAAUAUUGGACAAUGGGCGAAAGCCUGAUCCAGCCAUGCCGCGUGUGUGAAGAAGGUCUUCGGAUUGUAAAGCACUUUAAGUUGGGAGGAAGGCGUGUUAUACCUUGCUGUUUUGACGUUCCGACAUCCCG